rnacentral:rRNA from 1 species
UGGGGAUGACGUCAAGUCCUCAUGGCCCUUAUAGGUGGGGCUACACACGUCAUACAAUGGCUGGUACAAAGGGUUGCCAACCCGCGAGGGGGAGCCAAUCCCAUAAAGCCAGCCGUAGUCCGGAUCGUAGUCUGCAACUCGACUACGUGAAGUCGGAAUCGCUAGUAAUCGUGGAUCAGAAUGUCACGGUGAAUACGUUCCCGGGUCUU